UCUAUUUCUGUUUUACCAGUUUCUCUGAACUGGUUUACCAGUUACAUAUUUUGCUUCUUGUUUUUAUAGACUUCUGAGAGCAACAGCAAAUAUAUUCAAUACUGAGAAUAUUUCAUUUGUAUUGAACACAAUGAGAAGGUGGAUAAAUGUAUACUGAUUUUUUCCUAUUCUGUAAUGGAUUUUGGACUUUGCUUCACAAGUAAGCCUACUCCCUUGAUUUGAACCUCCGGUGCCCCUUUCAAUAUGGAACUCUGUCUUGGCAUUUGCC
ensembl:lncRNA